CUGAGUUUAUAAAGGGGGAGGGUCUACCUUCUCCCUUUUUCUCUCCACCCUUUGUUAUUAUUUGUACAAGUUGCUUUGGCGGUUGGUUUUGUUAUCUACCGUCAAGUGGCUUUUUCAAACACUUUGUUAUCCAACAGUUAAGAUAUCUUUUGUCUAAUUCUUUACGACUUGAAUAAGUAUGUA
rnacentral:misc_RNA from 1 species